AGUCUUAAGUGCUGCCCAUUCACUUUUUCAAAAUUAGUGGGUGUGGUGUUAAAAAGGGCCUAAAUAAAUGUUUAUCUGGCCAUGUUCUACUCUUAACUUUUGUUCCUAUAGUGUAGGGCCUGCAUAAAUGAUAGCU
ensembl:snoRNA